GGACGAACGCUGGCGGCGUGCUUAACACAUGCAAGUCGAACGAGAGAAGGGACUUCGGUCCCGUCUCUAGUGGCGGACGGGUGAGUAACGCGUGAGCAACCUGCCCAUAAGCGGGGGAUAACAACCGGAAACGGUUGCUAAUACCGCAUAAGACCCCGGAGACAGAAGUCACAGAGGUCAAAGGAUAGCAAUAUCCGCUUAUGGAUGGGCUCGCGUCCCAUUAGAUAGUUGGUGAGGUAACGGCUCACCAAGUCAACGAUGGGUAGCCGACCUGAGAGGGUGAUCGGCCACACUGGAACUGAGAUACGGUCCAGACUCCUACGGGAGGCAGCAGUGGGGAAUAUUGGGCAAUGGGGGAAACCCUGACCCAGCAACGCCGCGUGAGGGAAGAAGGCCUUCGGGUUGUAAACCUCUGUCCUUAGGGAAGAAGAAGUGACGGUACCUAAGGAGGAAGCUCCGGCUAACUACGUGCCAGCAGCCGCGGUAAUACGUAGGGAGCAAGCGUUGUCCGGAAUUACUGGGCGUAAAGGGUGCGUAGGCGGUGAUGCAAGUCAGAUGUGAAAUACCCGGGCUUAACCCGGGGGGUGCAACUGAAACUGUGUUACUUGAGUGCAGGAGAGGAAAGCGGAAUUCCUAGUGUAGCGGUGAAAUGCGUAGAUAUUAGGAGGAACAUCGGUGGCGAAGGCGGCUUUCUGGACUGUAACUGACGCUGAGGCACGAAAGCGUGGGGAGCAAACAGGAUUAGAUACCCUGGUAGUCCACGCUGUAAACGAUGGAUACUAGGUGUAGGGGCCACAAGGUCUCUGUGCCGGAGCAAACGCACUAAGUAUCCCGCCUGGGGAGUACGGCCGCAAGGCUGAAACUCAAAGGAAUUGACGGGGGCCCGCACAAGCAGCGGAGCAUGUGGUUUAAUUCGAAGCAACGCGAAGAACCUUACCAAGGCUUGACAUCCUCUGACGUACGUAGAAAUACGUAUUCCCUUCGGGGCAGAGAGACAGGUGGUGCAUGGUUGUCGUCAGCUCGUGUCGUGAGAUGUUGGGUUAAGUCCCGCAACGAGCGCAACCCUUAUCAUUAGUUGCCAGCGAGUGAAGUCGGGAACUCUAAUGAGACCGCCGGGGAUAACUCGGAGGAAGGUGGGGACGACGUCAAAUCAUCAUGCCCCUUAUGUCUUGGGCUACACACGUGCUACAAUGGUCGGUACAAAGGGCAGCGAACCCGUAAGGGCAAGCGAAUCUCAAAAAGCCGAUCCCAGUUCGGAUUGUGGGCUGCAACCCGCCCACAUGAAGUCGGAGUUGCUAGUAAUCGCGAAUCAGCAUGUCGCGGUGAAUGCGUUCCCGGGCCU
rnacentral:rRNA from 1 species